AGAGUUUGAUCCUGGCUCAGAAUCAACGCUGGCGGCGCGCCUAACACAUGCAAGUCGAACGAGAAAGCCCGCAAGGGUGAGUACAGUGGCGUACGGGUGAGUAACACGUGGAUAAUCUACCCUCUUGUGGGGAAUACCGUUGGGAAACCGACGACAAUACCGCAUAAGCUCGAGAGAGGAAAGCAGCAAUGCGCAGGAGGAGGAGUCCGCGGCUGAUUAGCUAGUUGGUGAGGUAAUGGCUCACCAAGGCUCAGAUCAGUAGCCGGCCUGAGAGGGCACACGGCCACACUGGCACUGAAACACGGGCCAGACUCCUACGGGAGGCAGCAGUGGGGAAUCUUGCACAAUGGGGGAAACCCUGAUGCAGCGACGCCGCGUGAGCGAUGAAGCCCUUCGGGGUGUAAAGCUCUUUCGGCAGGGAAGAUUAUGACGGUACCUGCAGAAGCAGCUGCGGCUAACUACGUGCCAGCAGCCGCGGUAAUACGUAGGCAGCAAGCGUUGUUCGGAGUUACUGGGCGUAAAGGGUGUGUAGGCGGUUGGAUAAGUGUGGUGUGAAAUCUCCCGGCUUAACUGGGAGGGUGCGCUACAAACUGUCUGACUAGAGUGUGGGAUGGGAGAGUGGAAUUCCUGGUGUAGCGGUGAAAUGCGUAGAUAUCACGAGGAACACCGGUGGUGUAGACGGCUCUCUGGACCAUAACUGACGCUGAGACACGAAAGCGUGGGUAGCAAACAGGAUUAGAUACCCUGGUAGUCCACGCCCUAAACGAUGCAUAUUUGGUGUGGGUCAUUCAUUUGAUCCGUGCCGGAGCUAACGCGUUAAAUAUGCCGCCUGGGGAGUACAGUCGCAAGGCUGAACUCAAAGGAAUUGACGGGGGCCCGCACAGCGUGAGCAUGUG
rnacentral:rRNA from 1 species